rnacentral:tRNA from 1 species
GCCGUCUUAGCUCAGCAGGUAGAGCAUCACCAUGGUAAGGUGGGGGUCGUGAGUUCGAAUCUCAUAGUCGGCUCCA